CUGCAAAGGUCAAAGUAUUUCUUUCUCCUUUCUCCAAAGGUCAGGCCUUGUUAUAUUUAUAUUGCUACUUGAAAGCUGUGAUUAAACAUUGUUAUUUGUAGUGUUUUAGCAUUAAUCAACAUCUGGGUGAAAUGUCAGAAUCAACUUCCACUUUCCUAAGGAGUUUGCCUUACUCUGAGCAGCUGGGUAAGAGUCGAGAGGAAGCAGCUCUGUCCCACCAUGCAGUGCGUCAGUUCCAGGAGGAGGGCGCAUGGGGUGAGCUCAGGGCAGAAGGCUUUUGUUCCAAAGCCCCUCUGACCUGAACGCACACACUCACAGCGUGCCCUGUAUCUGGCUCAGAAGCCGUCGCUCCGAAGAAGGUGACUGUCCCCUGUGAGGAACUGUCGUGGGAAUGAGGCGAUAGGACUGGUUGAAGGAAAUGCUAAGAAGCUCUCUCCUUUGUGGACUGAGGGACCAGCUUCAACACCAGAGGGGUGCAAUCCCAGCAGAAAAGGAACACUGUCUCUAAUGUUGCAACAAAGUAACCAGCAUGAAGUUAGCAAGAAGAAAUCACGGUUGCAGCUGCUGAACACUGAUCCCUACCUGCUUUAAACUUAGAUCCAGAACGGAGCCGGCACAGUGACUUACGUCACUCCCACUGGCUUAAGAGAACAGAGAAUGACAUAUAGACAAGAUGCUACCUCCCAUGGAAAGGCCCCUAUACAUAAAGUCACUUUAUUUCUCUGUCACUUCCCUGAAAAUAAUUUAUGUAAUUAUGCUGUUAAUGAAGUCUAACAACUCAAGGUUUGUUUAUUGACUAUUACUUAAUGCUACCAAAGCAUGUGUGAAUACCCUCCCACAAGAUGGCACCUGUUGAUUCUCCUUCAUAGUAAAGAUAAGAGAUUCCAACCACUCCCUCUCCUAUGCCCACUCCCAGAUAUGUGUAAUUUCUUCCCACUCCUUCCAGUCUCAGAAGGGGUAAGAUGAACUGAGAAGGGACCCUAUUUGUACAAAUAGGUUUCAGGAUGUUGUCAUAUGUGCUUCCUGGGACUCUGUGGUAAUAAGAGCUGUUUUAAGGUCACUCAUGCAUAAACCCCCAUCCACGAUUUGAUAAAUAAACCCACCGUCCAACCAAUCAAAAAUGCUAAAGUAGGGAGAAAUUGUUCUUCCUUUUUGUUGAUGCCAGUGCCCUAGCCAAGGUGAAUAGACGUUUGUUCAAGCUGUUGCUGUAAAAGAUACUGUGAUGUUCAUUUGUAAAUAUCAUCAGAGUUACUCCUACAGGUCGACUCUCUGUGUAAGACACUAAAAA
rnacentral:lncRNA from 1 species